rnacentral:snRNA from 1 species
GUGCUCAUUUCAACAGCACAUAUACUAAAAUAGGAAUGAUACAGAGAAGAUCAGCAUAGCCCUGCACAAGGAUGGUACGUAAAUUUCUGAAACAUUCCAUAUUGAA